ACGUAGGGUGCGAGCGUUAAUCGGAAUUACUGGGCGUAAAGCGUGCGCAGGCGGUCAUGCAAGACGGAUGUGAAAUCCCCGGGCUCAACCUGGGAACUGCAUUCGUGACUGCAUGACUGGAGUGUGGCAGAGGGGAAUGGAAUUCCGCGUGUAGCAGUGAAAUGCGUAGAUAUGCGGAGGAACACCGAUGGCGAAGGCAGUUCCCUGGGCCUGCACUGACGCUCAUGCACGAAAGCGUGGGGAGCAAACAG
rnacentral:rRNA from 1 species